GCUCAGGACGAACGCUGGCGGCGUGCCUAAUACAUGCAAGUCGAGCGGACAGAUGGGAGCUUGCUCCCUGAUGUUAGCGGCGGACGGGUGAGUAACACGUGGGUAACCUGCCUGUAAGACUGGGAUAACUCCGGGAAACCGGGGCUAAUACCGGAUGGUUGUUUGAACCGCAUGGUUCAAACAUAAAAGGUGGCUUCGGCUACCACUUACAGAUGGACCCGCGGCGCAUUAGCUAGUUGGUGAGGUAACGGCUCACCAAGGCAACGAUGCGUAGCCGACCUGAGAGGGUGAUCGGCCACACUGGGACUGAGACACGGCCCAGACUCCUACGGGAGGCAGCAGUAGGGAAUCUUCCGCAAUGGACGAAAGUCUGACGGAGCAACGCCGCGUGAGUGAUGAAGGUUUUCGGAUCGUAAAGCUCUGUUGUUAGGGAAGAACAAGUACCGUUCGAAUAGGGCGGUACCUUGACGGUACCUAACCAGAAAGCCACGGCUAACUACGUGCCAGCAGCCGCGGUAAUACGUAGGUGGCAAGCGUUGUCCGGAAUUAUUGGGCGUAAAGGGCUCGCAGGCGGUUUCUUAAGUCUGAUGUGAAAGCCCCCGGCUCAACCGGGGAGGGUCAUUGGAAACUGGGGAACUUGAGUGCAGAAGAGGAGAGUGGAAUUCCACGUGUAGCGGUGAAAUGCGUAGAGAUGUGGAGGAACACCAGUGGCGAAGGCGACUCUCUGGUCUGUAACUGACGCUGAGGAGCGAAAGCGUGGGGAGCGAACAGGAUUAGAUACCCUGGUAGUCCACGCCGUAAACGAUGAGUGCUAAGUGUUAGGGGGUUUCCGCCCCUUAGUGCUGCAGCUAACGCAUUAAGCACUCCGCCUGGGGAGUACGGUCGCAAGACUGAAACUCAAAGGAAUUGACGGGGGCCCGCACAAGCGGUGGAGCAUGUGGUUUAAUUCGAAGCAACGCGAAGAACCUUACCAGGUCUUGACAUCCUCUGACAAUCCUAGAGAUAGGACGUCCCCUUCGGGGGCAGAGUGACAGGUGGUGCAUGGUUGUCGUCAGCUCGUGUCGUGAGAUGUUGGGUUAAGUCCCGCAACGAGCGCAACCCUUGAUCUUAGUUGCCAGCAUUCAGUUGGGCACUCUAAGGUGACUGCCGGUGACAAACCGGAGGAAGGUGGGGAUGACGUCAAAUCAUCAUGCCCCUUAUGACCUGGGCUACACACGUGCUACAAUGGACAGAACAAAGGGCAGCGAAACCGCGAGGUUAAGCCAAUCCCACAAAUCUGUUCUCAGUUCGGAUCGCAGUCUGCAACUCGACUGCGUGAAGCUGGAAUCGCUAGUAAUCGCGGAUCAGCAUGCCGCGGUUGAAUACGUUCCCGGGCCUUGUACACACCGCCCGUCACACCACGAGAGUUUGUAACACCCGAAGUCGGUGAGGUAACCUUUUAGGAGCCAGCCGCCGAAGGUGGGACAGAUGAUUGGGGUGAAGUCUACAGG
rnacentral:rRNA from 1 species